UUGAAAGGGAAACGAUUGAAGUCAGUCGUACCGACGAGAAAUCAACUUAUCGUGUGCGAACUUGUGGGCGUGCGUGAGUUUCGGCCUCGCUGUUUGCAUGUUUGUGCGUUUUGGGCGUACUUUUUCGUAUGGUAGGCCAACGUCAGUUUCGAUUAUCAUAAAAUGACCGGCGGAAUGUAGCUUCGAUUUCGGUUGAAGUGUUAUAGCCUCUGGUAGAUGUGGUGAUUGAGACUGAGGAUUGCAACGAAUAUCCUUUGGGCUAUCCGUCUGGCCUCUGAAAGUUGCUCAGGUGCCGAAAGCGUGCUUACGGUCAUCUAAGAUAACGUUCAACAGGUUAGAACGUGAUUACAUUCGUUAAGGAUGUUGACGUA
rnacentral:rRNA from 1 species